GAAGAAGAAUCGUAGCAGCGCGAGCGGCAUAAUCGGCGCUCGUGCAGCCCGAGACGCCCAACACUGGACGAUGUUGGAACGGCUACCCCGCGAAUGGAAGAGUAUGGUAGCCGUUCUGUCGUCGCAGGAGGGUCGUCCUGCUAGUUGACUUUGCUGCAGCAAGGAUACACUGUUGAGCCGUGUUUUCGUCAGCGCAGAACUAUGCCACGUCAACCUGGCAGGAUGAGACAGCGCCUUUAGGAGUUCCAGGAUAUCGAGAUCCGACGACAGAUGGUGUUGGAUGCACAGCACGUUUUUCCGAUGCAGGCAAGAACACUGCCGAAAAUAUCAGGACCAGCCCGCGAUGUCGUCUUCAAACACCAGCUGCACACUCCACUGAGGUACAGGGACUAACAAGGACAGGGACAGGCAGCAGAAGUACAAGGUGACUGUGAACACCUUUUGGUGCGUCUACUAAGCAGCCACGUGCACUAUGCAGCGAAUUCGAGCGCCAGCAGUGCUGAAACCUCCGGCGCUGGAAGCCAACGGAACUCUCGCACAACAGCCACGCAAGUUAUAGAAGAGGAUGGCGCCUAGCUGAUGUGUUGGUAGGCUUGAUAUGAAAGUCCAGAAUAAAUUGUGAUGCAUGCCACACACACAUAUA